UCCUACGGGUGGCUGCAGUCGAGAAUCUUCGGCAAUGGGCGCAAGCCUGACCGAGCGACGCCGCGUGUGGGAUGAAGGCCUUCGGGUUGUAAACCACUGUUAGAGGGGAUGAAAUGCAGGUGGGUUCUCCCAUCUGUUUGACAUAGCCUCAGAGGAAGGACGGGCUAAGUUCGUGCCAGCAGCCGCGGUAAGACGAACCGUCCAAACGUUAUUCGGAAUCACUGGGCUUAAAGGGUGCGUAGGCGGCGCGGCAAGUUGGGUGUGAAAUACCUCGGCUCAACCGAGGAACUGCGCCCAAAACUGCCGUGCUCGAGGAAGAUAGAGGUGAGCGGAACUUAGGGUGGAGCGGUGAAAUGCGUUGAUAUCCUAAGGAACACCGGUGGCGAAAGCGGCUCACUGGAUCUUUUCUGACGCUGAGGCACGAAAGCUAGGGUAGCGAACGGGAUUAGAUACCCUUGUAGUC
rnacentral:rRNA from 1 species